rnacentral:rRNA from 1 species
UGCGAACGGCUCAUUAAAUCAGUUAUCGUUUAUUUGAUAGUACCUUUACCUACUUGGAUAACCGUGGUAAUUCUAGAGCUAAUACAUGCUAAAAGUCCCGACCUCCGGAAGGGACGUAUUUAUUAGAUAAAAAACCAAUGCCCUUAAUGGGCUUCUUGGUGAUUCAUGAUAACUUUACGAAUCGCAUGGCCUUGUGCCGGCGAUGGUUCAUUCAAAUUUCUGCCCUAUCAACUUUCGAUGGUAGGAUAGUGGCCUACCAUGGUUUCAACGGGUAACGGGGAAUUAGGGUUCGAUUCCGGAGAGGGAGCCUGAGAAACGGCUACCACAUCCAAGGAAGGCAGCAGGCGCGCAAAUUACCCAAUCCCGACACGGGGAGGUAGUGACAAGAAAUACUGAUACAGGGCCCAUCUGGGUCUUGUAAUUGGAAUGAGUACAAUUUAAAGCCUUUAACGAGGAACAAUUGGAGGGCAAGUCUGGUGCCAGCAGCCGCGGUAAUUCCAGCUCCAAUAGCGUAUAUUAAAGUUGUUGCAGUUAAAAAGCUCGUAGUUGAACUUUGGGUCUGGGUGACCGGUCCCCCGACUGGGUGUGUACUGGAAACCCGGAUCUUUCCUUCUGGAGAACCUCAUGCCCUUCACUGGGUGUGUUGGGGAACUAGGACUUUUACUUUGAAAAAAUUAGAGUGUUCAAAGCAGGCUUUUGCUCGAAUACAUUAGCAUGGAAUAAUAAAAUAGGACGUGCGGUUCUAUUUUGUUGGUUUCUAGGACCGCCGUAAUGAUUAAUAGGGAUAGUCGGGGGCAUCCGUAUUCGAUUGUCAGAGGUGAAAUUCUUGGAUUUUUCGAAGACGAACUACUGCGAAAGCAUUUGCCAAGGAUGUUUUCAUUAAUCAGGAACGAAAGUUGAGGGAUCGAAGACGAUCAGAUACCGUCGUAGUCUCAACCAUAAACUAUGCCGACUAGGAAUCGGGCGAUGUUUUCAAUUUGACUCGCUCGGCACCUUACGAGAAAUCAAAGUUUUUGGGUUCUGGGGGGAGUAUGGUCGCAAGGCUGAAACUUAAAGGAAUUGACGGAAGGGCACCACCAGGAGUGGAGCCUGCGGCUUAAUUUGACUCAACACGGGGAAACUCACCAGGUCCAGACACAUUAAGGAUUGACAGAUUGAGAGCUCUUUCUUGAUUAUGUGGGUGGUGGUGCAUGGCCGUUCUUAGUUGGUGGAGUGAUUUGUCUGCUUAAUUGCGAUAACGAACGAGACCUUAACCUGCUAAAUAGCCGGGCUCGCUUUUGCGAGAUUCUGGCU